CCUACGGGCGGCAGCAGUGGGGAAUAUUGCGCAAUGGGCGAAAGCCUGACGCAGCGACGCCGCGUGAGGGAUGAAGGUCUUCGGAUCGUAAACCUCUGUCAGCAGGGAAGAACGGUCACUGUGCUAAGCAGCAGUGAAUUGACGGUACCUGCAAAGGAAGCACCGGCUAACUCCGUGCCAGCAGCCGCGGUAAUACGGAGGGUGCGAGCGUUAAUCGGAAUUACUGGGCGUAAAGCGCGCGUAGGCGGUAUGUCAAGUCAAGGGUGAAAUCCCCUCGCUCAACGUGGGAACGGCCUUUGAAACUUGCAACCUGGAGUGUGUGAGUGGAUAGUGGAAUUCCAGGUGUAGGCG
rnacentral:rRNA from 1 species